rnacentral:siRNA from 1 species
AUCGGCGAUAUCUGGUUCACCAGA